ACUGGAAGAAGCUAGAAGUCAGUGGAAACUGGAAGAGCAGACAAAGAGGGUAAGGAUCGCACGUGAUGGGAUGCAAGUCAAGGAACCUCAAGGGUUGCAGCAAGCCAGCACCAGAAUGCCAUACAGCCUAUGGGGGAGAAGACAUGGUCUUGCCAAUGCCUCAAUUUGGAACUUCUAGCCUCCAAAACUGAAUUGAGAAUUCUGCUCCCUGAGACAACUAGACAACUGUUCCUAAAUGGUCCUGUUUCCAGUCACUGGUUUCAGAGGAUUUCUGAUUGCUCAUGACAACUCUAACCCUAAGAGGAUCCAGUCUCUGGAAUGUUGAUGCAUCUUCUUCAGUUUUCUACAGUGCACGUGUUAUAUAUCUAUCAUCUAGGGGGAAACGUGUUUCUUAACAAAAAUGAAAGGUCCCCCCUCCUCAGGACAAUUUGUGUUCUUACCAGUCAGGAAGCACAAUGCUCAUCCUUAUUUGCUUUUGCAAGGAUGCCACCUCUGUUGACCUUCCUGUUGGGCAAAAGAAAGUAAAAUGUCCCCUUUAUAAAGUGCAUUUCAUAGUUUAAUGACUCUCAAGGACUCAUUUCAUGUUCUUCCUGAGUGAUUAACACAAAAGCAAGAGCUCCAGGGCCAGGGUUUCAGGUCACCCAGACAGCAUGCCCUGUAGGUUCUUUCCCUUUCCACCAAGACCAGAGUAUUAGUUUCCUCUGGCUGCAGUGACAAAUCACCCUAAACUUGCUGGCUUAAAACAACACAGAUUUAUUAUCUUACAGUUCCAGGGGUCAAACAUCUGAAAUGGGUUUCACUGGGCUAAGCUCAAAAUGUCACCAGGCCUGUAUUUCUUCUGGAGGUUCUAGGGGAGACUCUUUCCUUGCCUUUUCCAGCUUCUCAAGGCUGCCUGCAUUCCUUGGCUCAUGGCCUCCUCCCAUCUUCAAAGCCAGCAGUGUAGCAUCUUCAGCUCUCUGCUUUCCAUCUUCACAUCAUUUUCUCUGACUUUGACCUUCUUGCCUUCGUCUUAUAAGGACCCUUAUGGAGCCCACCUGGAUAAUCCCAGAUAAUCUCCCCCAUCUCAAAAUCCUUGACUUAAUCAUAUCUGCAAAGUCCCUUUGCCAUAUAAGGUAACAUAUUCACAAAUUCUGGGGAUUAGGACAUGGGCAUCUUUGGGGGCCAGUAUUCUGUCUCCUACCACCAGGUUAAAUAAAAUGGCUUGAAACUGGAGUGUUCACCUCUCUAGCAUUACAGGCAUAGUGGUUUGAAAACUGCACUGUUCCUAAUUAGCUCUCCCAAAUGUGUAUGGGCCUGUGCAUUUUCCACUAGGGGAAAAUAAUUCAUUAAUAAUAAGAUCACUUUGUCACUCAUUAGUCACUAACACUGGCUAAAGUUUAAUCAAUGAGAAGUGUAAUCUAAUCUUACGCUUACUAUGCAAUGCUACAUCAUCGCAAAAAUGUAGUUGAUGUGCAAAAACAUACAUAAAUAUAUGCUAGAGGACCUGUGGUGGCCAUCAGGCUUCCUUUCUAUUGUUAUCUCUUUUGCUAUUGCUAUGUGAAUGCAAGGAGCUAAAGAAGAGAGUUUCUGGGCUCAAAAAAUUAAGGGGCUAUUAUAACUUAUUUUGUUUUUAUUUUAGAAUUUUUUAAGUUACUCAAGUAAUAUAACAU